AGACGUCUACAUUAGAUACCCCGUAGUCCCAGCCGUAAACUAUGCGCGUUAGGUGUAUCGGUGACCACGAGUUACCGAGGUGCCGAAGGGAAACCGUGAAACGUGCCGCCUGGGAAGUACGGUCGCAAGGCUGAAACUUAAAGGAAUUGGCGGGGAGCACCACAACGGGUGGAGCCUGCGGUUUAAUUGGACUCAACGCCGGGAAGCUCACCGGAUAAGACAGCGGAAUGAUUGCCGGGCUGAAGACUCUGCAUGACUAGCUG
rnacentral:rRNA from 1 species